AUACGGGAGGCAGCAGUGGGGAAUUUUGCACAAUGGGGGAAACCCUGAUGCAGCAACGCCGCGUGGAGGAUGAAGCCCUUUGGGGCGUAAACUCCUUUCGAUCGGGACGAUUAUGACGGUACCGGAUGAAGAAGCACCGGCUAACUCUGUGCCAGCAGCCGCGGUAAUACAGAGGGUGCAAGCGUUGUUCGGAAUUAUUGGGCGUAAAGGGUGCGUAGGCGGUGCGGUAAGUCUUUUGUGAAAUCUCCGGGCUCAACUCGGAGUCUGCAAGGGAAACUGCCGUGCUGGAGUAUGGGAGAGGUGAGUGGAAUUCCUGGUGUAGCGGUGAAAUGCGUAGAUAUCAGGAGGAACACCUGUGGCGAAAGCGGCUCACUGGACCAUUACUGACGCUGAUGCACGAAAGCUAGGGGAGCAAACAGGAUUAGAUACCCGCGUAGUCCC
rnacentral:rRNA from 1 species